rfam:Hordeum vulgare subsp. vulgare, WGS project CAJW01000000 data, contig: morex_contig_1560876
CAACUACUUCCUCCGUCCUAAAAUUCUUGUNUUAGAUUUGUCUAGAUAUGAAUGUAUAUAGUCACAUUUUAGUAUUUAGAUACAUCCAUUUCUGAACAAACCUAAGAUAAAAAAAAUUGAGGCGGAGGGAGUACAAU